rnacentral:rRNA from 1 species
GAUGAACGCUGGCGGCGUGCCUAAUACAUGCAAGUCGAGCGAACGGACGAGAAGCUUGCUUCUCUGAUGUUAGCGGCGGACGGGUGAGUAACACGUGGAUAACCUACCUAUAAGACUGGGAUAACUUCGGGAAACCGGAGCUAAUACCGGAUAAUAUUUUGAACCGCAUGGUUCAAAAGUGAAAGACGGUCUUGCUGUCACUUAUAGAUGGAUCCGCGCUGCAUUAGCUAGUUGGUAAGGUAACGGCUUACCAAGGCAACGAUGCAUAGCCGACCUGAGAGGGUGAUCGGCCACACUGGAACUGAGACACGGUCCAGGCUCCUACGGGAGGCAGCAGUAGGGAAUCGUCCGCAAUGGGCGAAAGCCUGACGGAGCAACGCCGCGUGAGUGAUGAAGGUCUUCGGAUCGUAAAACUCUGUUAUUAGGGAAGAACAUAUGUGUAAGUAACUGUGCACAUCUUGACGGUACCUAAUCAGAAAGCCACGGCUAACUACGUG